UGGAUUAUAACCAUAACCACUCCACAGCUCCUGCUUCUCUCUUGGAUUAGUGGCAGAGAGAGACACGUACUGGAGAGUGAAUGAGAGUGGAUGGAAAGCUUGUGAAUUUAGCAAACGGUACAGUGUGUAAGUUGUGUGGCUAGAAAACACCAGGCAGCGAGUUGAGGUGGAGUUGGAGCCGUGACAGCACUUUUAUGUUGGCAGAUUUAAGGUGACUGGCACACCUACAGUUUAUCACCUGGCUGAUAAAGUGAAUUUCAAAAGGCAGCAUGGAUGGGGACGGGGAAGGGAUUAUCCAUUGCAUCAGGCAGGGGAUGAGAAUGGGGUUCAGAUGCAGUUGCAGGAGUUCAAAAAAGAGUAUGCGCAGUGUUUCUUCUUUGAUGCAGAGGAGAGAGACCGGAGGAAACAAAGGAAACUAGAAGAG